CUUGCUUCCAUGCAAGAGGUGACGUCGCUAUCCUGCAUUCUGCUCACAUUGUCAGAGUUAUUUGUUGUCGAACCCCAAGAUGCAGAGAAGGAGGCAGGCAUUUGGCCAUCUGCGCGGUGGCAAGAAAGGCCGACUUUGUGUGGAGGAUCAAGGCGAGGAUGACAAUGCCGCUCGCAACUUCCCACACUUCAACGUCUUCUCCUUCUUGGCCGGCGUCAAGUCCUCCGACUCCUGCUGGUGUUUGUGUGGCAGACAGGAGAACCCGGGUCUGGAUGUGGACUUGCAGAGUGGACUGAACUGGACUUUGUCACACAAACAAGCUUUAGUCCGACUAGUGGACCUCACCUUUGUCACACAAAUAUUUGA